AGUAAAAUAACGGUUCCCGUGAAAAAAAAGGGUCGCCCGCAUCCUCUCGCACACGCACGCCUACCUGCAUCUCCCCGACGGCUUCGCCUCACCGGCGGCAGGCCACCCCGCGCCCAACUAGCCUCGCCUCGCACCGGAGGCGUCCGGAGGCAGGCCAACCCUCUGCCCGACUCGCCUCGCCUCGCACCGGAGGCGGCCGGUGGCAGGUCGGACCCCCCCUCCCCUCGCUGCUGCCGCCAUCUACCACCACCAUCCUCGCCGCUCCCUCCCUCGCCCAGCCUUAUCUAGACGCCUAACCGAGAGAGGAGGAGGGGGGUUGACAAGGAGAGAGCAGUCAGCCGCCGGCGGCGGCGCCUCCGAGUACAGCCACACCGACGGCCCGUCCAAGAAACCAGCCCUGCCGCCCUGCUGCUCCCAACCCCCCUGAGUCUCAACCUCGCCGCCUAUUCUGGUCGAUGUUGUGAUUGAUAAUAACCAGGAAGAUUUCACCGCUCAGUUCAUCCAUUUGAAUCCUUCUACUAUAAUUAUGUUCCCUACCCUUUCUUACUUAUAGGAAAUUCAAGUGGGUACACAUAAACACGAUCACGGUGGAGGAGAUCUCGACGGUCGAUGUGAAGCUGGGGCGCAAGAAGGGCACGAAUAUCACCUUCCUAGAAGAAUCUGAUUUUUCUGGUACUGUUAUGUGUUUCAAAAAGUUAUUGGGAUGUAAUUUUUAUAUUGACACUAUAAUCUAUGAAGUUAUAUUUUCAGACAUUUCACUUUUUGCAUCAGCCGAGAGGCACAAUUUAUUUUCAAAUAAUUUCUGAAGUAAAAUUUGUGAAUGAACUGCAUGAUGUUUCAUGUGUCUGAUUUGUACUUGAAAUAAAAUAUUAGAUAGCAAGGUCCAGAGGAAA